CAGCGGCUCCUUGCCCCUGAACCGCUGAUCCACAGGCUGGUGAAGGUCACAUGGAGCUUUACUGUAUCUUGUCUCUCGGAGCGACAUUCUGAGCCACAGGGUCUCUUUAAAAUUCCACCCCAAUGCCCUUGGAGCCUCUGGCUGGAGUUCUAAGAUAGAUAGCAAGGGUGGGUUCACUUCUUUUCUUCCUGAUAGCACCAGAGGCCUAAAGUCUGUCAUGUCCAGAAGUCAACGUGGAACAUGGGCUAUUAGCCAGAACCUGGAGUAGAAUGAAAUAUCAAACCAAAUUCUUAGGAAGUUAAUUUUUUUUUUUCUUUUAAUGCUGCUGAAGUCUGAAUCCAGGGCCUGCUGCAGGCUAACUUCUGUAUCGUUGAGCCACACCUCAGGCAGCUUACUUUUAAGUAAACUGCUGACAUUUUAAAAAGCCAAUGCAAGUCUUACAGCUGUGGUUGAGCUGAGAAAGAAGGGCCCCUUUGGUGAUCCACCUGUGUCAGCACCUUCAGAUAAUAGGGUGUUCUCACUGAGCCAUAAAUUUGGGAUUCAGAGAUCCUUCACUCUGCUUCAACUUGGGGAACAUCUCUUCAAUUGUCCGUCUUCCUGGAUUGGUGCUGAAGCCUUCUUCAUUGGUCUCUGCCUAUGUCAGCCCACUACUCAUGUCAUGUACUGUCCCCGGGUCUGCUGUGGUUGGACCUUGAAUGUCUUCAGAGGCAGUCUGUUGGAGGUGUGGCCCCAGCCCACAGUACUAUUGGGAAAUGGGGAAACAUUUGGAGGUGGGCCUAGAGGGAGAUUUUAGGUCACCGGGGGUGGGUCCUUGGAGAGAAUGGGGACCCAAACCCUCCUCCUCUGCGUCCCAGACAGCAUGAGAGGAGCAGCUCUGCGUGCAUACCCACCAUGACAUGCUUCAUCACCAGAGGCUCAGAAGCAGCAGAGCCCAGGCCAUGGACUGAAGUCUCUGAUACCACGGGAACAUGUGAUUUAACUUGAUGUGCAUCAGGUAUUUUGUCUCGGUGAUGGACAGAUGGCUAACAGAAGGUCUGACGUGUCCUGCAGCAGUCAGUGAAUCCAUUCCCCCCGCUCUGGCUUUUGUCCAGGACCUCAGGAUCAAGACGGAGCUGCUCAGCUUGGCACCUGAUGUCCUUCACCCUCCACACGCAUGGCCGGCCUGGAGUGGUGUGCAGCACCUCUUCACCAUGCUCCUGGUUACCCUGCCCACCCCUUACCCCUCCACAGAGUCCACAGCUGGCACUUGCUAGACACACCCUGGCUUUCCUGCAGCCGUCUCCCCAGGUCCUCACCACCUCUUCCACAAGCCUUUGUGUGCCUUCCCCUUGCCUUUGUGCUGGUCAAGAGCCUUUCCCUCAGACAACUGGCACCUGUUUGUAGCCCAGCAUGAGGCCCGUCCUGAAGAGUGUCUUGUGCCCCUGAGUAAGAUACCAAACGACUUCAUUUUUCAUGCGUGCCAUGGGAUUUUCUCUGCUGGAGAGCCAUGUGCCAUUCGUGGGGCACUGGCUGCCCCAGGAGCACCCCCAGCCUGGCGAGACACGGCAGAAUCUGUCCUGGUGAAGGGCCCAGCCACAACUUGGGUUUGCCCAACUUCCCAAACUAUUUUUAAAGUGUUUUGGUUCAAUAAAGCUCUAAACAAGUUUU